UUUCCGACAUUCUGUGUAUAGCAAUCGAAAGUGUACUGAUAUGAUCGCCAAAUGUUCCGCUUUUUUCGAAGAAAUUUGAUUUUUCAACAAGACGGGGCAUCACCCAACUACAUAUAGUCGCGAAGUAAGGUAGUGCAAAGUAAGGUUUAUAAAGUAAGGUGACAGAAUACCUCGCCCGCCACUAUCUUCCGAUGUUUAAUCACUGGAUUUUAUUUUUGGGGUUACGUUAAGUCUAUUGUGUAUAGGCAUGACGUAAUAAGUCCCGAACAAUUACAACAGAAAGUUAUUAUGGUGUUUGAUGAACCCGUUUAUUGGAAGUUUUUAACAAGAAUACAAUUAUAUAUGAAACAACAUGGAAAUCACUACCAGCAAUUUAUGUACUGAGCGAAAUGACUCCUGAAUAUUGUGGCAUUGACUUUCAAUAUAUUCCAUGCAUACAAACAUUGUAUAUGCUUAUAAGAGGGAAUUAAUAUACUUCAUAGCAAAGUUCGUCAAGCUGAAUGUAGACCACUACACGUAUACUACAUUAUACUACACGUAUAAUGCACGUAUACUACAUAAAUUUUCAAACCUAUUUUUCUCGAAAACACAGCUUCAUAUGAAAAAAUUUUAUUCUACAUUUCCGACUUAUAUUUUUAAGUAGAAUCAUCAUUUUCCGGUUGUACCACCAGUUACUGGACAUUCUGUAGUUAUACAAUGGUCUUUUCAAAUUAGAAAUAAAGUUAUACAUCUUUCUUGGUAUUCGUUAACACGAAAUUAUUCUAACAUUCUUCAAAUUUCAAAAUUAGAAAGAAUUCUUUAAUUUUAUUGAAACGUUAUUUUCUUUGAAAAUUGUUCAUUAGACGAGAAAAAAAGCAACGUGAUUGCGAAACUGUCCUACCAAUUGCAUGAAUAUUUUCCUCUGGGCUAAAAUUCACAUAUAUAAAAGUUUUAAUUUUAAAGAAGCAUUCUCAUACAUUCAGUCUAGGCGCGUAACAGCAAAAACAUUACAUAAUCAUAUACACACACAUACAUACAUGAAAAACUGUGUUUCUUCUUGCAGAAUAAAUAUGACGAAUAUUUGAUUUAUCGAAUGUAAAAAUAAAUAAACAUAUAGUGGGUUUUCAUAUGCAAAGAGAAAUGUUUCAUAUUCAAAGAAAAAUUUUUCAGUGCAGAAAAAUUAUUAGUAAUUUACAUGCAUAAGUUUGGAAAAAAUUUCAUGGAUUGUAAACAAAUUACAAUCUACUGUAUAAAGUAUGCAAUAAGUGUGGACUACAAAAAAGACUGCAAAAUAAUUCAAGAAUUGGACGUUCACAGAAAAUUAAUCAAUAAACUAGUCGAUUUGUUAUUAAAAUUAUAAAGCAAACUCCAGGAGUAAAUGCGAUAAACGCAGUAAAGUACGUUACAAAUAAUUCAAAUCGUAAUGUACCUGUUAGUACGUAGUACAUAGUUUUAUACAAAGUCAAUGUUGUGACGGUUGGAUAGUCGGAAGAAAAUAUUUAAUGAAAGCAACUUUAACAUUUUCGAGUCUGAUGGACACUGCACUAUUUGGAGAAAAACAAAGGUAGAACUAAUACUAGAGAACUUACGACCUACAGUGAAACACGGUGCAGGUUCCGUAAUUGUUUUGGGGGUGCAUGAGUACAGCUGGUGUUGGCACAUUAUACUUUGUCAACGAAAUAAUGAACCACAAGGUUUACAUUGACAUCUUAAAACGCAGUGUUUUUCCUAGUGCAGGAAAAAUGAAUAUUAAAUAUAAUUCCGUUUCCGUGAACGAUAAUGAUCCAAAAUAUACUGCAUACAAUGCCAAAAUGUGGAUACUCUAUAAUACACCCCUAUAUGUAAAAACUCCUCUGCAGUUUCCUGAUAAUAAUCUCACAGAACAUUUUAUUUGAAACUUCAAAUUAGAAAAUAUGAGAUUUUCCAAAAGUUGACUUAUAAAAUGCUCUCAUGGAGGAAUGGAACAAGCUUCUAACACAUAUAUUAUCGAAUGUAGUUAAUUCAAAGUCUAAAAAAAUUGCAACAAGAAUUGUCAAUAUGAUAUCGUAAAAAAUCUUAAUUAACGGUUUAUAUUAGAUUUUUGAUAUAAAAAUAAUUUAAAUUGUGUUUUUCAUAUGAAUUUUUAAAAAUGUAAGAACUGUGUGAAUACUUACUACUUGUUUAUUUCAUACAUAAAAUGAGCAUUCGCAUCACGCACUAAAUAUUCAGUCUAUGCAGCAAUACAUGAAUCAAACAUUCUCAAGGUAUGCUGCGAAUGAUUUUUUAUCAAUUAAUUUUAUAUGUUUUCUCAUUUAGGUUCCCCAUCACGAAAUAAGUUCAAAUUUUAGAAAAAGUUUCUUUUGUUUCCAGGAAUGUUAAAGUUUACUUUUGGAAUUUCCUUUACUUUUGGAAUUAAUUUUUUCCAUGUUAAUCAUCAAUUUUCUGUGAAACUUAAAUCUAAGCUACUGUUUGGUAAUGUUAUUCUUUUGAUCUCAUUAUUCUUGCAAAUAAUACUUUUUGUACUUUAGGAAUCAAGAAAUAUUUUGAAACAUAUGUAUACACUUUGAAAUUUACAUUUCUGUACAACGUGCAUAAUUUCCUGUGACAGCUGCUAUCUUCUGCUUAUAUUGAGCGAGGAUGUUCAAAUUUUCUAUGAUUCACUACACUUUUCGUCUUAUUAAACCUCUUAUUUAUUUAACUGGUCUAUUCUAAUCCGACUAUAAUUCCACAUUCCUGUGUAACUCUUGUUUAAAUAUUGCAUAAAGAUUUUUGUCUGACACGCUUCAUGAUAUAAUUAGCAGUUUAAAAGAUAAUCUAAAGGGGAAAUGACUUGAUAUGCAUUUUCAAUUAAUUACUUUAAUAUUUAAAAGUUUCACGUCACGUUUUUCCGUUAACCGAUAAACUUAGAAUUUUCCACAGAUCACUUUUUGUAUUAAGUACAAUUAUUGUAGAGAGUAUCGAAAAACAAUUCAAAAGUCAAAUAACAACAAUAAAAUCGAAAUUAAAAUUAAAUAGCAGCAUAGAGUAACACAAAAUGGAACUAUGAUUAAGAUUAAAAUUCAAAUAGUACUACGAUAUACAGUGUUUAUAAAUGAACAGAAAUCUCGUCAAAAAUGACUUCGAGAAUAAUUUCUUCGUGGUCAUAACAAUUGUCCCUUCGAAGAAAAUAAUGUUUAUCUCUGACAUUUUUCUCUAUUAUAAAAAAUAAGCUAGGCAUUCAAGAUGCACAAGUUAGAUGGAACACCUUAUAGGUAAAUAAGACUAUUUAGGCGUGUAUAUAUGCAACGAAUUUCCACAUUUUAUUAUUUCUUGGAGAUUUUAUAAUUAAAAUUGCAGAAUAUAACUGCAAUUAAGAUUUUAGCACUGAAAUAAAAUAAUAAUAGGAACAAGAGAGGUAUUUCGUUCUUGUACUUCCAGAGUUGAAAAGAGUAAUGGGACCAACGACUGCUCUAUGCAAUCAAAGGACAAAGAGUGCGCACAUUCCUAUCCUUUCACACGCUUCUCUGUCUGAAUACUGUCCCCGGACAAUAUGAUAUCGUCUCUCUUCUGUCAGACCAACGAACGUGAAAAUUUUCACUUUCGAAGAUAAAGAUACAGGUAUUCUGGAAAAUAGGAAUACUUAUUCGGAGGUUAGGAGAGCGUACAGGAAUAACGGAGUUACAAAUUUUCUUUCUUUCGCAGCUAUAUAAUGCGGUUCUUUAACUCUCUCUCUCUCUCUCAUCAACCAGGCGUCCAGGAAUAACUCUGUUCUCUCCCGUUCGAAUGGCGUCCAGGUAUUCUCUCUGAACUCUCCAUUCCGAACGGGCGACCAGUAGUUUUCUCCCGUACUCUUCUGUACUUUACCUGGGGCGUCCAGGAGAUGCUCUGACCUCUCUCAGUCGACAGGCGUCCAGGAAUAUUCGCCGAACUCUCCAUGUCGACCGAGUGUCCAGGAACAAACUCCCGUACUCUCCCCCUAUUCACCAGGCAGGCGUCCAGGAGGGUUUCGCCGUACUCUCCUGCCUGGGUAUCAAUCGUUAUCUGCAGGUGCGCGUCCAGGAAUUGUCGCCGAACUCUACCACCGGAGUCUCUUAACCUUUACGCUGUUACGUCGCGCUCUAUUCUGCGUUUCUUUAACCUUAAAGUGUUGACGCACACCUUAACCCUAGCCUGUUUCCGAUUUCUAGCCUAAUCAGGGGAAUUCGAUGGAGGCUAUUUCCGAACUGACUAAGCCUUUUGUUGGUUAUACUGGAUUUUAUUGUAUAUGUUCCUUACUUACAAUGAUGAUCUCUCUCUCUCACAUGCACUUACACUCGUGACUGAUGGUGGCUCGGUUUCGGGUACUACUUCGCCCCUCUAGACGCCGAUGAUAAUCUUAUCUUUCGCGGUGGACCUACGCGAUAGCGCACGCACUCCCAGAAUUAACUGUUUACGGGUCUUGUAUUAUCAGACCCGGAGAUACGAUACGCGAAUGACCGCUGGCCGAGUGCGAAAGAAGCCUCGAAGUGUAAAGUCACGAAAAAUCCUCUCACUCGCACUUGUCGGCGGUUUUUAUACCCGAAAGUGUGCCAAAUCGAGUUCUCAUUUGUCACUCAUGCACAUUUUGGAGUUACGCGAUCGCUUUCGCAGAAUACUGCGUUAAUGCAUUCCUGCGAGUCAAUUCGGUCGCGACCCGAAUACCGACGGAAAAGGAAUAUUCCUCGGAUGUAACAACCCCACUGACAUAAGAUAAAUAAUAUUUAUUAAUAGUUGGACUUUAUAGAACGUUUAAUGCAAUAAGGAAUUGUGUCGCAUGGACAAUAUGUACUAUAUCAAAGAAGAACUUAACAAGAAAAGAUAAUACUUCUUACAAUUACCACAUAACUUUGAUAUUAUAAAAGUUACAGUAUCUUACUGGCGAGCAUAUGCAGCGUACCCACAUCAAGAAUAGGUUUUUUUUCACAUUUUAUAGGUACAUUCAUUACAUUUAUUUACUAUGAAAUUCAUCGUUGGAGUUAAUAUCACAUAUUAAUAUCACAUUAUUAUAUAGUACUGUUUCACAAUACGGUUGGGAAUUCUAUUUUCGCUUCUUUUAUUACACAGUAACAUUAACAUUAACAUUUCGAUCGCCAGCUAUUUAAAAAUCGGACGUUACAAUUUGGUUUUCGAAUUUUGAGCUCUGCACUUUAAUGAUUGCAAGGAUUAAUUUAUAAUGCAUAUUUUCUUUUUAAAACCUAACGCCAUAUGAAACUAUUAAAUAAAAAGGUUAUUUUCAAUUUGAAUAGAUAUUACUUUGAUCUUUCUUUAAGAAUAUCGCGUAGUUGCUAGUUCUCCUGCGAGAAAAUACCUUGGAGUGGAAAGAGUUAAUUGCUUUUCUUUUGAAAACAAACCUUCAAAUUGUAAAAUUAUAAAGGAACUUUCGAUUUGUUUUCACAUGGCGAAUCUAUAGCUUCCGAGUUCGGAAAACUGCAGAUUUUUCGGAACGUUCUACAUACCGUUAAAUCACUCACUGAAUUGAUCACUUUUUGCUAGUAAUAUUUGAUAUUUCUUCUCUAAUAAUUAUAAAUCUGUACUUUCAUAAACUUCUGAUUUAUCAUAAUAUCCUUUAGUUGAACACAUUUAACAGAGAUAUUCGCUCGCAAACCGUCGAAGAGACAAGACGUGUAGUGAGCCCCGAAUACAAACAAAGUGCACGGAGAUCCAAAUUACUUGUGUGAAUUGUGAUUAGUGUAUAAGUGUCAGUGUGUGAACCGUAAGUAUCGCUUACAUAAUAAAACAACCACUCAUAACCACAGUGGUCAACACUAGCGAUGUCACAAGCCAGUGGAGGACCAGCCUUCUCACCCAUAUAUACUAUUACCACUGCCGAUGUCAUUACAACCACUACGACCUCAACAUCUUAUCGAAAUAGACAGCAUACACAACAAGCUAUACCUAUUAUGUCGACACGAGUCACACAUACCAACUCAUCUCAUCUAGACACGACCAUUUUCGAAACACUCAAUACAAACAGAACACGUAAACGGAUAAUUCCAGGAGACCCGUCAAUACUAGCUGAUAUAAUACAAACCGAUAUGGA